CAUGAACCAUGUUGGUCUUUCCUGUUCUUUUCGACAACAUUCUCUUCGACAUAUCCAAUUUGUGUUCUUGAACUUUCUUAGCCUUCUUCUUCUCAAAUGCUCUGUCAACGGAACUGAUGAACUAAAGGACUAUAUUUCAACAUCCCCCUCAAGCUGGAGGGGAUCGAAGUGAGACCCAGCUUGGAAAGUAACUUGAGAUAUUGUGGUCCAGGGAGAGAUUUGGUAAAGAUAUCAACGAUUAGAUCUUUAGAAGGGAGAAAGGAUAGAGAAAUGAACCCAACCAGGUAUUCUUGACGGACGAAAUAGCAAUCAAGCUCAACAUGUUUUGUCCGUUCAUGGAAAACCGAAUUGCAUGCAAUGUGAAUUACAGCUUGGCUGUCUGAGUGGAUCGGAACAUGAAGAAGUGAUGGAACUGAUAAAUCAGUAAGGAAACGAGUCAGCCAAAUCAACUCAGCUACGAGACGCCUCAUGGAUCUAUAUUCGGCUUCAGCAGAUGACAAGGAGAUGGAGAUUUGUUUCUUUGAUUUCCAAGAAAUAGGUGGGCCACCAAAACUAAUAAAGAAUCCACUGAUGGAUCCGCGCGAAUCUCGACAUGAAGCCCAGUCAACAUCGCAAAAUGCACUGAUGGAGAAAAAUGGAGAAUAAGAUAGAAAUAAUCCCCGAGCAGGAAACUGUUUAAGUUAAGUUUGCCGACAAGAUGCUUGUAUAGAAUAGGAUCUUCCAUGUACUCAUCGGAUUCUGCUACCAAUUUGAUAGAUGGAUCCAAAGGUGAAGAGAUAGAAGACAUAUGAGACACAUCAAUUUCAAUGAGAAAAUCAGAGAUGAAACAACUUAGCACCAUUGGUUUGACCAAACUUGUGCUCCAAGCUGGUCCACAUUUCCUUUGCAGUCCUUGAGUAAAUUACACUUUCCGCAAUAUCUCUUGAUAGAGAAUUCAAGAGCCAUGAAGUCACCAUAUCAUUGGAUCUAUGACAAAGUGGUAUAUCUAAAGAGUUUGUUGGAGGAAUUGGGGUGAAUCCGUUGAUGAAACCCAACUUAUUCUUUGCCGAAAGGGCAAUGAGCGUUGACCUCUUCAAACCCUGAAAACCUUUUUCAUCAAAAAGGUUAUUCACCAAUGUCAUACCAAGAUUAUCAGAAGGAUAAAGGUGAUAUGGAU